rnacentral:rRNA from 1 species
UCCCACCCUUUGUAUACCUUACCUUUUGUUGCUUUGGCGGGCCGCCUAGCUACUGGCUUCGGCUGGUAAGUGCCCGCCAGAGGACCCAAACCCAAACCCAUUUAUAGUGUCGUCUGAGAAAAAGUUUAAUAUUUAAAACUUUCAACAACGGAUCUCUUGGCUCUGGCAUCGAUGAAGAACGCAGCGAAAUGCGAUAAGUAAUGUGAAUUGCAGAAUUCAGUGAAUCAUCGAAUCUUUGAACGCACAUUGCGCCCCUUGGUAUUCCGAGGGGCAUGCCUAUUCGAGCGUCAUUAUCACCCCUCAAGCUCCGGCUUGGUGUUGAGGCCUGCUGUAAAGGCACCCUCUAAAAUCAGUGGCAGUGCCGUCAGGCUCUAAGCGUAGUAAAUUCGUCGCUAUAGGGUCCUGGUGGAUACUCGUCAAAACCCCCCCAUUUUUUUAAUGAUUGACCUCGGAUUAGGUAGGGAUACCCGCUGAACUUGAGCAUAUCAAUAA